UACGUAGGGGGCGAGCGUUGUCCGGAUUUAUUGGGCGUAAAGAGCUCGUAGGCGGUUUGGCAAGUCGGGUGUGAAAACUCCGGGCUCAACUCGGAGACGCCACUCGAUACUGCCAUGACUUGAGUCCGGUAGGGGAGUGCGGAAUUCCUGGUGUAGCGGUGAAAUGCGCAGAUAUCAGGAGGAACACCGGUGGCGAAGGCGGCUCACUGGCCCGGUACUGACGCUGAGGCGCGAAAGCGUGGGGAGCAAACAGG
rnacentral:rRNA from 1 species